GGGAGUGAGUUAUGGGAAGGAAUUCAAGCCCCCUGGAUGGUGAUUCUGCCCCUCUACUCCCUUCUGCUGAGACUCCACCUCAAGUACUGCAGCCACUUCUGGUGUUCCCAUCAUAAGAAGGACACAGAGCUGUUGAGGUGCAGCUGCCUUGGCAAUGGGUUUGGAGUGGAUGAUCUUCAGAGGUCCCUUCCAAGCCCUCCCAUUCUGUGGUUUAUAGCCACAGGCAAAAGAGGAGUUGAGUUGAACACCCUCCAUGAGAGGGAUCCAGACUUAAGAGACAUUAUCUCAUCGAUGGUGAACAAGGCUGGCACGCCAUCAGCCCUGAUACUCCUUGGCCAGCUCAGCCUGCGUGGUGGGGGACAUGGGGAGGGAGUAUCUGCCAGGCUUCACUUGCAGUGCCAAGCUCAUGCUAGUCAACUGUGGUGAGAUCCUGGCUGGCAGCCUCGGCAAAGCAUCGCCAUCAAGUUGGAAAACAGCACAGAGCAGGGCCCUGUGCUUGUGGGAGACAGAGGACAGGGAGAGGUUGAGGAGAGUUGAGCAGUGUGGUGGUUAGGAAUGAAGAAGUGAGACUGGUGAUAGAGCUCUGGAGCAGGCUGCCCAGAGAGGUUGUGGAGACUCCUUCUCUGGAGACCUUCAAAACCCAUCUGGACAUGUUCCUGUGGAACCUGAUCCAGGUAAACCUGUGCUGGACCCAGUGAUCUGCAGAGGUCCCUUCAACUCCUACCAUUCUGUCACUCUGUGGUUGCAUGGAGGGAAGGAGGGCAACAGGAUUGAAAACUGCACUUCUUCAUUGAGGCUUGGGAGGAGAAGUGUGGGUGAGAGGAACACAGAUUCAUAGAAUGGGUUGGGUUGGAAGGGACCUCAAUUUCCAACUCCCCUCUCCUGCCUCACCUUUCUUGGGUGACAAUGAUGGACCUACAGCUGUAGCUACUAAUACUCAUCAAAAAAGCUCCUGUUGCUUGCUCUGUAGCUCAAACUGUCCUUAAGAACAGGUUCAUCUCUUCUGCUUGGCAGCAGCAGCUGUCUUUUGCCCGGUGUGGCACAAGCACUGGCAGACAAGACAG